UACGUAGGGUCCGAGCGUUGUCCGGAAUUAUUGGGCGUAAAGGGCUCGUAGGCGGUUUGUCGCGUCGGGAGUGAAAACUCAGGGCUCAACCCUGAGCGUGCUUCCGAUACGGGCAGACUAGAGGUAUGCAGGGGAGAACGGAAUUCCUGGUGUAGCGGUGGAAUGCGCAGAUAUCAGGAGGAACACCGGUGGCGAAGGCGGUUCUCUGGGCAUUACCUGACGCUGAGGAGCGAAGCAUGGGGAGCGAACAGG
rnacentral:rRNA from 1 species